GCAUUAAGAAUACGGAGGGUAUUUCCAUAUUAAUGACUCGGUUUCAGAGGAGGGGGCAUUCAUCAGUGCCGCUUGAAAAGUCAGUGUACCUGGACAAAACCUCCUCCCUGUUCCGCUAAAUUGCCCCGAAGCCGUUUUAGCAGCUCCUCAAACUUUCUCCAGCCUGAAUCCUGAUGUCGGUUUAUUGGCGGAGUGGAGCUGAAAACCUUCAAGUCAGACGACUUGAUUCCUCCAGGAGGAAGAAGAAGAAGAAGAAGAAGAAGAAAAAACGGUUUAUUUUUAAACGUACGUGGACAAACUGUCAGGGAUUAAAGACAAAACGCAGCAGGAAACGCACUCCAUCACAGCUCAGCCGUGAUUUGACGCCGCGAACGUGACGAGGAUGAGAAUGCAUUCCUCCUCAUCCCGCCACCUGGCUGAGGACACACACACACACACGCACACACACACACACACACACACACAAAAGAAAGACAGAAACAUGGCAGCUUUAAUAAGUCAGAUAACGCCACAUCAGCUGGCAUAUAGAGGUAUUAAAUUCCAAACAGUGAACGCUUUGCGCAUAAAUCCAGCAGCGAGGAGAUCCGGAGGAGUGAAGAGAUGCUGAACGUUAGAUUUAUUUCCACAUGGGGAGAUAAAGGUCUUAGUGGCUUUAUGAAGGGACGUUGUCUUGGCUGACUGUCGGGAUUCUUCUGAUUAAAGUGUAGCCAAGAAAGGUCAAAGGCCACAGCAAGACAGAAAAAUGGAAAACAGUGUGGCUGAGAGGAAUUCAUUUAGCAACAUUACGACCACGAAGUUCAAUGUAUUACGCUGAAACCUUAAAUGAUAGACCUACACAAAUUAGUGCAUCACUGUGUAAUGGAAGGGAAACAUUUAGUUAAUUAUUACUAUUGUUAUUAUUAUUUAAAACUAAAAGUCUGAACUGUGUGGCCUGCCUUAGAAGCCAAAUUUAAAGGCCCUCUUGGUGAAGCAUAGUGAUGCAGCCAUGUUUCUUUUUUCUAAUUCAAGAAGACAAACAAGUUAGAUUUCUACAUACUCUAAAGUGUAGUAGCCAUUUUAUUUGUUCCUUUUACACCCAGGAAGAGGCAUCAGAUGCAUUCUUUCUUCUUUUUGUAUGGCUCUAAAUAAAGCAAUAAACUAAACUUCAGUCUUCACUCUUCCUCCAGACUCUGGGCCCUUGACUUCCAAAUGAAAUGCAGAAUUUGCUUUAAUAUAAAAAGAGGAAAUUUUAACCACUGAACAACAAUCCAGCUGCUUUUCUCCUUAUCCCAAGGCUACAAGCUUCUGACAUCGUUUCCAGUUCAGGAGCGACUCGAUACAAGAAUUGACAUUUGUAGCAUUUAUUCUGCAUGCCUUCCACUCACCUGUCUACAAAUAUGUUUGAUGAACUCUAUGAACAUCCAGCUUCUAUAGCAGGUUGGUACUAAAAGUUUUAGUACCAAACCUUUCACCCUUGGUACUAAAACUGGCUAAUUUAAACAGCAAAAAUUAGUUUAUAGUUUGUUAUUUCAGUGUAGUCUGCUCAAUAAUAAACAUUUAUUUAAUAAUGGAUUAUACGAAUCUUUAAAGAUCCAAAAUAUAACGUGCCUUAUUAAAAUAGAAAAGAUAAUUGCCACAUUUUUGGGGGGUCAUCAGUCGUUUUCUAUUUUGUUGGCCAAAUCUUUAAACUUUCUUGGACUGCGGUUCAAAUUUUCUGAGACAAUUUGGGUUUUUCAUGAUCUUUAAGUCAUAAUCAUCAAAAUGAUAAGAAAUGAAAGGUAUUGAAACAUUUCAUCAUAUGUGCUGUAAUUAUGCGUGGUAUGAUUUUGUGUGACAAAAGCUGUUGAACCUUUAGACAAUAUUACAUUUGGAAAUGCACCUGUAGACUGAAAUAUUACAGUUUGGUCUAAUCCAACUUCGACAUGCUCCCUUCAUGGCAUGUAGGAAACUUCUAACUGGGUUCAUUGGGUUCUCAACAGUCCCUUUCUUCUCGCCACUCUUGCAUUCAGGACACAUUUGUGGCGUCUCCGUAACAGCCUCAGGACGAGGCACAAGGGUGUGGACCUUUACUGGACUGUGGCAAUCAGGUUGAGAGAAGAUAAGGAGAAAAAUAAAAAAAAACAACCUCUCUGGUCCACCCCAGAAGUCAUCACGGUAUGCUAAUGAGCUGAGGGGGGCAACCUUUUAAGUGCUGGAGCCCAACAGACUGAGCAGUUAGGAGACAUGGACCAGACGUGAACACUUGUAAUGAAGACGUCUAAUGACAAGGUGCAAACAGAUUCCAGACGAGCUGCUUGGCUGUUCUGUCUUGUGCCCUGGACAGGAUAUCAUCUUAUACUGUAAGUUUUUUAAAGAGACACUACAGUAUAGAUGAUGUACUAUCCAGGGUAUCAUUCCACCUCCGCCGGCGCCGGAGGAGACUCGGACUGAAACGUCAGGGGGCCGAACACACAGCCGAGGAGGGCAGUUAAACCGUUACCAUUACUGAGUUUUAGUAAUGGUAAGGGUUCUACGGCCUUCGCUCAAUGACGACGAAGGAAAGGACGAGCUGGAGCAUUGUCACACUUAAACCAAUAAUGUCAAAUAAAAAUGGUGGUUGUCUCCCUUACAUGAGUGCCUCUUUUAUUUGUAGAAUCUGCUCUUAAUGGUUUUGUGUUUCUGUAGGUUUCAAAAAUUCAAAUUUAAGACUUUGUAACUGUUUAAGAUACUUUUUAAGACAGUUAUGAGUGAAAUGUAUGAAUAUUGUCCAAACGUCAGUACAUUUUCACCCACCCCAUGAUAAGUAUUGUAUAAAACUAUUCAACACAUGCUAGCCAGAUAGCAAGUGUUGGGCAUAUUAGUGCUAAUUACCGGCAGGUUCAACCGAAUCGCAAUGAAGAGUGCGACUCAAGCUUUUGCCUGACAGAAAAGUUCAGCAAGAAAAAAACAAAUAUACGGGGUUAAAUAGACGUGGCGAAACAACAUUUUAAUUUACCAUUAUGAUUAACUUAUCUAAGGUUAAUUUACUUUUUUUUUUUUUAAAAAAUUCAGUUAUAUGACUUGUAGACUUUUUAAGAAUGCGUGGACAUCCUGCAUUAGAUCUAAAUUAAUUUUCUGGACUGAGCUGGAGUUAGCUUGUCUAAGGCAGUGGUUCUCAAAUGGGGGUACGCGUACCCCUGGGGGUACGUGGAGGUACUGCAGGGGGUAAAAAAUCAGUAGGCUCCUCAUAAUAAGUCUUGGGAAAAAUUAUUUUGUAAAAAGUUCGAUAAAAUAUAAAUGUGUGUUCAUGCACUGAAUUUUAUAUUCAGUAUUUACAGGGUAUUUACAGCACUGUACCUCUGUUUUAUUCCAAAAAUGUUUUGCCCGUGUCAGGGGGUACUUGACUAAAAAUAUAUUUUUAAGGGGGUACAUCACUGAAAAAAGUUUGAGAACCACUGGUCUAAGGCAGCGAUUUUUUGCUCUGUCAAAUCAAGAGGGGAGGUAGCAGCUGUUCAGAGAACAAGGAGCGCUUCGGGGACUGACGGCUUCAGUCUGUGAGGAAACUAUCACCCCCCUUCCCUGACAUCAGGACACUUACUAACUGGUUAUUCAUCAAGAUGCCCUGAACUGCUGAGUUAACCCACAGGCAGCGGGAAUGAAUCUAAUCCCCAUUAUCUGACCCACUUUAGCAUCAGGUUAGUGCUCCACUUUCCCCAUCCAUUAGGGAGACAAUGUAGCCCCUCGGAGGCAGAGACGGGCUUUAUAGGAGCCAAAAGAACGGAGCGAGGGUUAAAAACACGGAGGAGAAGAAGAAGAAGAAAAAGAGGGAAAGUGAUGGUCGCAGAGAUGGAUGGCUACACUUCAAAGGGCAGCAGAGACGGCUAAAGUGAUGAAGGGAGUGGAGGGAACUGGGUUGGACGGUACAUCAGGGACAUGUGAGUGAACAUGACGGUGCAGCUCUCGCCUUCGGUUUAUCUACAGCGCAGCGUUUGUGCCCGCCGAGGGAAGAAAAAGCCCUGAGAGCCAAAGAUAAAAACGUCGGCCUUUUCACAGCCUGCCAAACCCGCUCAGCCAUGAAGGAGCUGUCAAAGUCGUGUCAAAACAUCCAUUUGAUGAGCCGCCGUGUCAUGUUUGCUACCAAAAAGCAGAGAUCUUCAGCCUGACGUCCCUCAGGUAGACCCGGCUGAGGUCCUCCCCCGCCUCCCGGGCGAUGCGCGCCACCGUCUGGCCGGCGGCGCCGAUCACCAUGGUCUGCAGACACGAGAAGCGACGCAACAGGCCACAGUGCUGUGACGGCUCUCCUCACCUGGGUCAUGGAGUAGGGCACUUCCUGUGGCAGAUACUCCAGCAGCUUUUCCCUG